CCUACGGGAGGCAGCAGUGGGGAAUAUUGCACAAUGGGGGGAACCCUGAUGCAGCGACGCCGCGUGGGUGAAGGAGUAUUUCGGUAUGUAAAGCCCUAUCAGCAGGGAAGAACAAUGACGGUACCUGACUAAGAAGCACCGGCUAAAUACGUGCCAGCAGCCGCGGUAAUACGUAUGGUGCAAGCGUUAUCCGGAUUUACUGGGUGUAAAGGGAGCGCAGGCGGCGCGUUAAGCCUGGUGUGAAAGUCCGCGGCCCAACCGCGGGACUGCAUUGGGAACUGGCGCGCUGGAGUGCCGGAGGGGUAGGCGGAAUUCCUAGUGUAGCGGUGAAAUGCGGAGAUAUUAGGAGGAGCACCAGUGGCGAAGGCGGCCUACUGGACGGUGACUGACGCUGAGGCUCGAAAGCGUGGGGAGCAAACAGGAUUAGAUACCCGAGUAGUC
rnacentral:rRNA from 1 species